UGCCGUCUUGGGGAUGGAGUCCCCCUGACAACCGCCCUGGCCGGGCUGAUGACUCCUACCGCGCA
rnacentral:ncRNA from 1 species